AGUAAAAGUCGUAACAAGGUCUCCGUAGGUGAACCUGCGGAGGGAUCAUUACACAAAUAUGAAGGCGGGCUGGAACCUCUCGGGGUUACAGCCUUGCUGAAUUAUUCACCCUUGUCUUUUGCGUACUUCUUGUUUCCUUGGUGGGUUCGCCCACCACUAGGACAAACAUAAACCUUUUGUAAUUGCAAUCAGCGUCAGUAACAAAUUAAUAAUUACAACUUUCAACAACGGAUCUCUUGGUUCUGGCAUCGAUGAAGAACGCAGCGAAAUGCGAUAAGUAGUGUGAAUUGCAGAAUUCAGUGAAUCAUCGAAUCUUUGAACGCACAUUGCGCCCUUUGGUAUUCCAAAGGGCAUGCCUGUUCGAGCGUCAUUUGUACCCUCAAGCUUUGCUUGGUGUUGGGCGUUUUUGUCUUUGGCCCGCCAAAGACUCGCCUUAAAAUGAUUGGCAGCCGGCCUACUGGUUUCGCAGCGCAGCACAUUUUUGCGCUUGCAAUCAGCAAAAGAGGACGGCAAUCCAUCAAGACUCCUUCUCACGUUUGACCUCGGAUCAGGUAGGGAUACCCGCUGAACUUAAGCAUAUCAAUAAGCGGAGGA
rnacentral:rRNA from 1 species